UUAUGGCUCAGGACGAACGCUGGCGGCGUGCCUAACACAUGCAAGUCGAGCGGGGACAUGCGACGGAUAGGAAGUUUCGGAUGGACUUGAAGAUGCAUUGUUCUAGCGGCGGACGGGUGAGUAACGCGUGAGCAACCUGUCCCUUACAGGGGGAUAACACAGCGAAAGUUGUACUAAUACCGCAUAAGACCACGGGAGGACAUCCUUCAGGGGUCAAAGGAGGAAUCCGGUAAGGGGUGGGCUCGCGUCCGAUUAGAUAGUUGGUGAGGUAACGGCCCACCAAGUCGACGAUCGGUAGCCGACCUGAGAGGGUGAUCGGCCACAUUGGGACUGAGACACGGCCCAAACUCCUACGGGAGGCAGCAGUGGGGAAUAUUGGGCAAUGGGGGGAAACCCUGACCCAGCAACGCCGCGUGAGGGAAGAAGGUUUUCGGAUCGUAAACCUCUGUCCUUGGUGAAGAGGAAGAGACGGUAGCCAAGGAGGAAGCCCCGGCUAACUACGUGCCAGCCGCUGC
rnacentral:rRNA from 1 species